GGGCCGAAUGAUCUCUGCGGAACUGCAGGAGGUUACGAUUUAAUAGUUAAUGCAAUGAGUGUGCAGCCUUCUCUAACCUCUUUCUACACCACCUUGCGGAGAACAGUGUUAUAGUGAGUGUUGUGCUGCUGCUUGCUGACCCCUGUACUGUGCAGACUGGAGCAGGUAAGCGACCAUUCUGCUGUUCUCCUGUAACACCUGGCCUCAGCGCGGAAGGAAGGCCUUAAGAAGCCUCCCCCCCCCCAAAAAAAAAGCGAAGUUUAUUCACCCUGGGAGCUUGGCUUAUUCCGUCACGUUUUGUUGGAGAGAGAGAGAGACUGGAAGAUCGGCUCAGCUCAGACAAGCCACUCCGCCUGUUCGAAAGCAUGUCUGUCUCCUGAAGGGAAUAAACCGCUGGAAGCAAGUGAUUCUGAGUCCGUGACCGAGCAGUGUGGAAAAUUAUAUUGGGAGAAUAACUCCGCGAUGCUGGAGCGAAGAUAGACGCUGGUGUCUUGUCUCACAAAACCUGACUUCAACAGUAUUCCAUGCCACAGAAUGCACAACAUGAGCAGUUGUAGUUGCAGAGUGCACCUCCUCAUCCCUUUGCUCCUUGGAAUUAUCCCAGCGAUACACGCAAUGGAUUUGGAUAGUAUUCCCAGAAGGACAGUAUCACUGGAUGGAGGAAACCAGAGCACCCGGAGGAAACCCACGCAGACACAG